rnacentral:lncRNA from 1 species
UAACCAUCUGUGCUAUUUUGUUCGUUUUUUUGCGUUGUUUGUAACUUGUUUUUUUUGUGGUUUUUUUUACAUAAUGUUGCUGCUACUGUCUCUUCUGACCAAAAAUAACUUCUGGACAGUGUUUACUCACCUCGAACUGGAUGAAGAUUUGUUCUUUAACGAGUCCGACGCAAAGGAUAUACUGCUUUCUCAGGAAUGACCCCAAAUCCCCAUCAUUUGCGUGAAAAAGGGGGCGGAGGUCGGGCUGCCUUCUGAGAAUUCAUAGGCGAAGUCGUGGCUGAACGACGACACGGAUAAUAUAGAGCUGGCAGGAUUUUCCAUGCAUUGGCAAGACAAGGAAGCUACGUCUGGUGAAUGAUUCGAAUAUUGAUGUGCCCCGCCUGAAUGCAGAAUGAAACAAGAUUCUCUGGUCUGACGAAACCAAGAUUGAACUCUUUAGCCUGAAUGCCAAGAGGCAUGUCUGGAGGAAACCAGGCAUCACUCAUCACCUGGCCAAUACCAUCCCUGCGGUGAAGCACGGUGGUGGCAACAUCAUGCUGUUGGGAUGUUUUUCAGCGGCAGGGACUGGGAGAAUAGUCAGGAUCGAGGGAAAGAUGAACGGAGCAAAGUACAGAAAGAUCAUUGAUGAAAACCUGCUCCAGAGCACUGAGGACCUCAAACUGGGGGCAAAGGUUCACCUUUGAACAAGACACAAAGGUUCACCUUCGAACAGGAUGAAGACCCUAAGCACACGGCCAAGGGAACGUUUCCAAUUCAUGAUACAUUUCUGUUGUAUGUGUGUUUGCCAUUAAUCCCUUGUCAAGUGUGUACCCCCUCUACAGGCCAAUGGAGAAUACAGUUGAAAGGAAUACAUGCUCCAAGGCCUACUGGGAGUGCUGUUCCAAUCUAGUCCUUUAGCCAAAGUGGCAAGUGGUGAAAUGUUAGUCUUGAUGCUACAAAUCCAAUGUCCAGAGUUGGAUUCAAGUUGAAAAAUAAUAAUACAUUUAUUUGUCGUUCUUCUGGAUACAAAAAAUGUAUAUAAUUCUACCAAAACUAAUUCUUAUCAUUAAACUAAAGAAGCAAACAGCAUGGUAAACAUGGUCUGGUUUGGUCAAAAGACUGUGUGCUGCCAUUCCAGUCGUAUUUUGACAGUUAUAUUAGCCAUUUAGCCGCUACACUUAGUCAAAAUACUCCGCUGGAAAAUACUUCCUUGGAAUUUAAAAACUGGAUUGUUUGGAAGGACGCAUAGGAUCAAAGCACUCGCGCAGCCUCAAGACUAAAGUACAGCGUAGAAAAUACGCACUUGUGUAUAUAAAGCAGCCUAACAAGCGCACACACUUUUGGAUGAUUAGUGGGUACAUUUGAGUGUAUGGCUACACUUAUAAUGCAUUCAAAGUAUGGAAAGUUUGCUAUUGGAGAGACUUAUUUGGACAAAGGAUUGAACGCAUAGAAUCCGAUUUCCAAACCCUGCUGCCUAAUUAAUUGAAGUGUGAAGAUUAACGAUAUAGUGACACUGUUAAAGGAGCGCAGGGCUUAUUGAUCUAUGUUCAUGGUUGCAAAUCUAAAUAUAUAUUACUGUGAUAGCCGAUUGAGGGAAUAUGGCUGAAGAGAAUGCUACCACUGCAGAUAGCGUUGUGUAUGUGGGCGACAUGGCGCUACGAGAAGAACCUUUAUCAGAAAAGGCCUCAAAGGAGGAAGUUUCCCAAAUGCGCAAAUCCAGAAGAGGUAAACUGGGAAAGCUGACUCGCAAAAUGAACAUUGUUACUGAUCUAAUGACCGACAAUAAGAAUAUUGAAGUUG